UCUCCUAUCUUUUUCUUCUUUCUCUUUCUCUAUUCUCAAGCUCUGACUAAUUUAAGUAUCGAAGUAUCCCCAUUGGAGAAUCUCUAAUAAGUGUGGACUUUCAUUGCAGGUUCCUGAAAGAGGAGAUACCCCCAACCCAGAUUCAAACUCCUCAUUAAUAGGCGACUAACAUCAAGUCAAAGACUUAUAGCAAGACAAGGUUUUGUUAAUAGGUUCCAAGAAAUGAACCUAAUUAUUCCUCAAUUUUAGGAAUUUCUAGAGGCUUGGCGCUCCUGAAUCUUGACACUAUAGUAGCUGAUUCCAAAUCCAAUAC
rnacentral:lncRNA from 1 species